rnacentral:tRNA from 1 species
GGGCGAGUAGUGCAAGUGAUCAAAGCCGGCUGGCUGUAACCCGGCUCCCACGCGGUUCGUAGGUUUGAAUCCUACCUCGCCCACCA